rnacentral:rRNA from 1 species
UAGGGAAUCUUCGGCAAUGGGGGGAACCCUUACUGAGCAACGCCGCGUGAGUGAAGAAGGUCUUCGGAUCGUAAAGCCCUGUUGUUAAGGAAGAACGAGUGUGAGAAUGGAAAGUUCAUACUGUGACGGUACUUAACCAGCAAGGGACGGCUAACUACGUGCUCGCAGCUGCGUUAAUACGGAGGUCCCGAGCGUUGUCCGGAUUUAUUGGGCGUAAAGCGAGCGCAGGCGGUUAGAUAAGUCUGAAGUUAAAGGCAGUGGCUCAACCAUUGUAGGCUUUGGAAACUGUUUAACUUGAGUGCAGAAGGGGGGGGGGGAAUUCCAUGUGUGGCGGGGAAAUGCGUAGAUAUAGGGAGGAACACCGGUGGCGAAGGCGGCUCUCUGGUCUGUAACUAACGCUAAGGCUCGAAAGCGUGGGGAGCGAACAGG